AGCGAACGCUGGCGGCAGGCCUAACACAUGCAAGUCGAACGAACUCUUCGGAGUUAGUGGCGGACGGGUGAGUAACACGUGGGAACGUGCCUUUAGGUUCGGAAUAACUCAGGGAAACUUGUGCUAAUACCGAAUGUGCCCUUCGGGGGAAAGAUUUAUCGCCUUUAGAGCGGGCCCGCGUCUGAUUAGCUAGUUGGUAGUGUAAUGGACUACCAAGGCUACGAUCAGUAGCUGGUCUGAGAGGGUGAUCAGCCACAUUGGGACUGAGACACGGCCCAAACUCCUACGGGAGGCAGCAGUGGGGAAUCUUGCGCAAUGGGCGAAAGCCUGACGCAGCCAUGCCGCGUGAAUGAUGAAGGUCUUAGGAUUGUAAAAUUCUUUCACCGGGGACGAUAAUGACGGUACCCGGAGAAGAAGCCCCGGCUAACUUCGUGCCAGCAGCCGCGGUAAUAC
rnacentral:rRNA from 1 species